UCGUCAGCUCGUGUCGUGAGAUGUUGGGUUAAGUCCCGCAACGAGCGCAACCCUUGCCUUUAGUUGCCAGCAUUAAGUUGGGCACUCUAGAGGGACUGCCAGGGAUAACCUGGAGGAGGGUGGGGAUGACGUCAAAUCAUCAUGCCCCUUAUGCUUAGGGCUACACACGUGCUACAAUGGGUGGUACAGAGGGCAGCCAAGUCGUGAGGCGGAGCUAAUCCCUUAAAGCCAUUCUCAGUUCGGAUUGUAGGCUGAAACUCGCCUACAUGAAGCUGGAGUUACUAGUAAUCGCAGAUCAGAAUGCUGCGGUGAAUGCGUUCCCGGGUCUUGUACACACCGCCCGUCACACCACGGGAGUUGGGGGCGCCCGAAGCCGGAUUGCUAACCUUUUGGAAACGUCCGUCGAAGGUGAAAUCAAUAACUGGGGUGAAGUCAGGGCAAGGUAACCGUA
rnacentral:rRNA from 1 species